CGUGUCCCCCAAGGCGAGCAGCCUCUCCCGCCGGGCUGCCGUGACUCCAUGCCCACAGUGCCACCUGCUGGAACCGCUCCUUCCCGUCCUUCCCGAGGGCUGCGGGAAGGGUCGGCCGGGCCCACCCCGGCUCCGCUCCCAGGCGGGGAAUCGGCCAUGGGCUCCAACCAUCGCUACUGCUGACAGCGGAGCGCCUGAGCGGGGCUGGCACGGCAGAGGGAACCCCAAACCCUCUGCCAUCCCAAACCAUGUCCUACCCACUGGGCUUCUCCACACAGAGGCCUGAAAACACAGCCUGCUCUUGCAGUGCCGAGAUGUCUGCACAAGCUGGCAUCAUCUUUUGAUCAUUUCAUUGAGAACACUCAGCUCCUGAGCAGAGUGCGAGAGUCACGGCGCUUCUAACAGAGUUAAAUCCUUCCAAGUUUUCCCGACCAUGGAUUUCUUCCCCCUGCUUCUUCCAAGCAGAGUAUUAAAAUCCUCCAAAUCUUAAUUGACCAACUUGAGAAUCCUCCUAGAGAAUAUCAAACACAUUUGACAGCUUGGAACUGCUUUUCAGUUACAAGCUUUUAAUUAUACUAAUUCCACUUAGCAGUUCUACCUCCAUGGCUUUUUUCUUUUUUUUCUUUUCCUGCUGCUGUUAACUGAAAUAUUAUUCUGUAAAGCUGAAGUUCAUCACAGGAUUGACGAGCAACUACUUUGGCAUUGUGGGUCAAGCCUUUCCAGCAGCAUAUAAGAGGAAAGAGAAACUGGCAGCAAACAACAAAAUUCAGAGGGAGAACAGAGAAGUCCACAGCUCAUUUUGCAGAACUCAGAGGCUGGGUAUCCUGAAGCUUCCAGAAGUGGCAGGAGGACAGAGAGAAGGAAAGAAGGUGCAGGAGGAAAAGGCAUCACAGAAACUGGAAAGGGAAGAAAGUUUUUUUUUACAAUUCCUUGUAAGAAAAGCAGUAGCAGGCAUUGCAUACCUUUCUGUAUCCAAAACUUGCAGAACCACAACAACCUUUUUCCCUUAAAACUGAAUGGGAAAUAGGAAAGCCAGGAGGAGCUGACUCAUGAAUUAUUGAAAUCCAAGUUACUUACUUAAUUUUUAAACUUUAGUUACCCAGUUACAAAGUCUUGACCCUUCCAUUGCCACAAUCAUAUUUAUAAAGUGCUUUAUCCUA